CACAUUACCUUGCUGACUCUUUGUGUCCUCAUCUGUAAAACAGAACUAUGAUGGCUACAUUCAUUUCCUUAGGGUUCUGGGAAGGAUUAAAUGAACUGCACUGCAUGGAAGCAAUUUUUAGACUCUAAAAACUUUGCAAUUGGGCAUCAUUUUCUAAAUCCCCUGAACCAGUAUCAGACUGUAAGGGGUAAGUAUGUGGGCCACGUAGGGGGUCAGGGCUGUCAGACUCCACUUCCAGGAGAGAGUUAAACACUCCUCGUAUGGACUUUUAUUGUACUAUCAAAUCCAAUCUCAAAAUAUCUUCAUAGGCGACAUGUUUGUCUCUUCCCAGUUUUGCAGCCACAUCAGUUUCUGAUUAGACUUACAAUUAAAGUGGGGAAGUGACUUUGGAAGAGACAUGCGUGCUGUCAGCAGAUGGGAGAGAGGAUCGAGAAAGAUGGAGGGAGGCUGCUGUAACACCUGUUCUGGUUGGGAUUCUGAAUGAAUAUGAAAGUGGCUCUCCCUGUGAGAGGAGUAUGCUUCUUGAUCACUGAAGGCUGACUAGGCGAUGCAGAAGGUGCUGUCAGCCACGAAGGCACUGAUGGAGAACCAGCAUCAAGCAGUACAGUGGCCCCAGAUUUUGCUGAAGAAAGAAAGCACAAUAGGACAAAAAGAAGGGUCAUUUGUCUCUCAUGAUAUUUGUCAAAAAAUAGAGCUAGCUAUGGAGAGAUGGGAGGUGCCAACAGGCUGGAGUGCACUGGCUUGAUCUCAGCUCACCUCAACCUCCGCCUCUCGGGUUCAAGCGGUUCUCCUGCCUCAGCCUUCGGAGUAGCUGGGAUUACAGGCAUGUGCGACCAGGUCCAGCUAAUUUUGUAAUUUUAGUAGAGACAGGGUUUCUCCAUGUUAGUCAGGCUGGUCUUGAGCUCCAAACCUCAGGUGACACCCCGCCCUGCCCCACCUCGGCCUCCCAAAGUGCUGGGAUUACAGGUGUGAGCCACCCACCAGGCCAGCAAUCUGUGUUUUAACAAGUGCCCCCAGGUGAUUCUUUUGGCCAUUCAAGUUUGAGGAUAACUGAAAUAGGGAAUGUGGUUUAAGGCCAAGUAAUAGAAGUUUGGCUAAAGGUGCUUCUGCUAGCUGCUCUGCUGCAACUGAGAAAAGAGACAAGCAACUGAGAAUUAGUGAUUAUCAGUUUAAUACUAAUAACAGCUCUCUCUCCUAUCAUCACAUGACUCAUGACAUAUUACUGAAUUACUGCAUUUUGUUGUUGUAUUACUUUCAGAACUAUUACUAGUACAUAUUACUUCAGUUUUAUAGGUGAAGCAAUUAACAAUCAAAGAAGUUCUAUUCCUUGUCCAAAAUUACAAGGAUAGUAAGCCGAAGAGGAAAUAGAAGCUCCAGACUUCUGACAGCUAAUGUGGGGCUCUUUUCCCUACACCUUACUCUCCAUCUUCCUUUCCUGUUGAUGAGAAGUUUUCAGAAAUCUCCCAAACUUCCAGAAUUUCCCUAGCAGAGGCUGGCAUCUUGCAUUCCACAUGUGAAUAUUGAUCGUGAUUUCUGGGAUCCUCUGUUGAAAAGGAUUCUGAGGAUUUAUUUGGAGUCAGUAGAAAAGCAUGCUGUAAUGGAUUGUUAAUAUCUGCAGUGAGCAUCAAAUGGCGAAGUGAAAGUAUAUGUGUAAUAUAUGCAAUAUAGCCUGCUCACAAAGUAUAAUCUUGUUCUGGGCUUCACUGCAUUCUUUGGCUAGGCCCUGAUAAGUACAAACUGUAGAAGAGCAGCAUUCAGUUAGGAGGAUUAAAUCGGGGUGGGUUGAUGAAGAGAGGAAUGAUUAUUCUCAAAUGCCUUCAUGUUAUCUCAUUAGCCAUUGUUGUUCAUUCUAAUUCCAAUUAGGUUUCAUGAAUUUGUAGAGAAACAAUCAAAACAAACAAAAAACACACAACACCCCCCUCCAAAAAAAAAAAUAAAUAAAAGAAGGACUAAGCCUCACGCCUCACUCUCUGACAUCAGCCAGCCCAAAUACAUUCCCCUGCCUUACAAACCCAUGCCUCUAAAAUUCUGGGCACAUUAUAAUAGCACACCUUUUUAUUCCAGCUUCAUAAAAGGAUAGAUAUAAAUGUACAAAGUCUGCCAGUCCUCUUGACUUCCCGCAAUACUGUCUUUUUAAGAAUGAAUGGAAACUUUUCCCAUUUUACUGGCUUUUUCCCACUAACCUCCCCUUAUAAAACUAAACAAAAAAUCAC
rnacentral:lncRNA from 1 species